rnacentral:sRNA from 1 species
UUUAUAUACACUUUUGUCUGUCGAGCAAGGAGGGGGCAACUUCCGAGUGGGUUACAUCGAGACACACCCCCUCCCCCCAUAUCAACCCUCCACACCCCACUCUCUGACUCCCUCGCCCGAGUCUGGUCCACCUCUUGGAAUCUGGGGACAGGCUGGGAGGGCGCCGGGAUGUCACCUAGCGAGUCUUAUUUUUACAUUUUAUUUGUGUGACGAUCUGCUCUCUAGCACCCAAUGGCACCCCUUCCUGCAGGCUCCUCAAGUUCUGCAAACACCAAGGCAGGAAAGUCUUAUUUCAUAGACGGCAGACGAUAUAUCUUCUGUAGCGUAUUGGAUACUGAACGGCCAUUCAGCUAAUAAUAAGGACUCGCAAGGGAACUACUACCUCAGCCAUCUCCUCAGAUCUAACAAGGAAUGUUAGGAAAGCCGAAGAAGAAAGGAAGAAGAGACAGAGAAUGCUGACUGGUGUCUUGAUAAUCUCCACAUGUUUAUGUUUAUACCACACAUGGCUAUACCUAAGGUAAUGGUCAUUAUCCUAGAGCGCAUUGUCUAAAAGGGAAGAUGCAUGCAGUGGACGUUAGAGGCGGUUUCGGCUAGCAACUGGAACAAUCUCUAUUAUGCCAUCUCCCAAUCCUCUUGUUGUUCUGGUCGCAACAGCCUUCAAUAAGUGCUACAACUCAUCGCUGUCCAGGACUGGCAGGUCGACACGGCUUCAAGUAUGCUACCAGAAAUAAUGUACGACCUCAGGCAGAUCGCACCGUUCGAGAGCAGGCACAGAAGCGACGAAAGAAAAUCGAAGCUAAUGGUUCGAGCACCAAAAACUUCUUCUGCCCUUCUGGAAUGCCGGUCCUCGUCCUGCAGUUGGCAGACCCCGAGAAGAAGUAUCGAGCAACUCUAUUCCUCCCAUUUCCUCCACUUCCUCUAUUUCACCAAACAGCUUGCAUUCGUCAUCGGACCCCCAGGCCCCAACUACUCACGCUUUCCAGGAAUCGUGUCUUCUUCCAUUAUUAGACAACCAACAAGUUCUCCCCAUCCCACAAUCUCGAACCCAUUCUUCGCAGAGUAACCAUGUUAUUGUUGAAGGCCAUUUGUGAUGGGUAUUCAUUUCCCGCCAAUCUAGAUAGGGACCCUCCGCCCGCAGAUAGUGUAGGUGGUAAUUAAUCGUCUGUAUCAGAUGAAGGAAUGAAUUCUUGUUAAUAGC